UACCUAUCAGAGGGGGAUAGCCCGGCGAAAGUCGGAUUAAUACCCCAUAAAACAGGGUUCCCGCAUGGGAAUAUUUGUUAAAGAUUCAUCGCUGAUAGAUAGGCAUGCGUUCCAUUAGGCAGUUGGCGGGGUAACGGCCCACCAAACCGACGAUGGAUAGGGGUUCUGAGAGGAAGGUCCCCCACAUUGGUACUGAGACACGGACCAAACUCCUACGGGAGGCAGCAGUGAGGAAUAUUGGUCAAUGGCCGAGAGGCUGAACCAGCCAAGUCGCGUGAAGGAAGAAGGAUCUAUGGUUUGUAAACUUCUUUUAUAGGGGAAUAAAGUGGAGGACGUGUCCUUUUUUGUAUGUACCCUAUGAAUAAGCAUCGGCUAACUCCGUGCCAGCAGCCGCGGUAAUACGGAGGGUGCGAGCGUUAUCCGGAUUUAUUGGGUUUAAAGGGUGCGUAGGUGGUGAUUUAAGUCAGCGGUGAAAGUUUGUGGCUCAACCAUAAAAUUGCCGUUGAAACUGGGUUACUUGAGUGUGUUUGAGGUAGGCGGAAUGCGUGGUGUAGCGGUGAAAUGCAUAGAUAUCACGCAGAACUCCGAUUGCGAAGGCAGCUUACUAAAC
rnacentral:rRNA from 1 species